UGGGGAAUCUUGCACAAUGGAGGAAACUCUGAUGCAGCGAUGCCGCGUGAGUGAAGAAGGCCCUUGGGUUGUAAAGCUCUUUCGUCGGGGAAGAAAAUGACUGUACCCGAAUAAGAAGGUCCGGCUAACUUCGUGCCAGCAGCCGCGGUAAUACGAAGGGACCUAGCGUAGUUCGGAAUUACUGGGCUUAAAGAGUUCGUAGGUGGUUGAAAAAGUUAGUGGUGAAAUCCCAGAGCUUAACUCUGGAACUGCCAUUAAAACUUUUCAGCUAGAGUAUGAUAGAGGAAAGCAGAAUUUCUAGUGUAGAGGUGAAAUUCGUAGAUAUUAGAAAGAAUACCAAUUGCGAAGGCAGCUUUCUGGAUCAUUACUGACACUGAGGAACGAAAGCAUGGGUAGCGAAGAGGAUUAGAUACCCUCGUAGUCCAUGCCGUAAACGAUGUGUGUUAGACGUUGGAAAUUUAUUUUCAGUGUCGCAGGGAAACCGAUAAACACACCGCCUGGGGAGUACGACCGCAAGGUUA
rnacentral:rRNA from 1 species